rnacentral:rRNA from 1 species
UAGGGAAUCUUCGGCAAUGGGGGGAACCCUGACCGAGCAACGCCGCGUGAGUGAAGAAGGUUUUCGGAUCGUAAAGCUCUGUUGUUAAGGAAGAACGAGUGUGAGAAUGGAAAGUUCAUACUGUGACGGUACUUAACCAGAAAAGGACGGCUAACUACGUGCCAGCAGCCGCGGUAAUACGUAGGUCCCGAGCGUUGUCCGGAUUUAUUGGGCGUAAAGCGAGCGCAGGCGGUUAGAUAAGUCUGAAGUUAAAGGCAGUGGCUCAACCAUUGUAGGCUUUGGAAACUGUUUAACUUGAGUGCCACAGGGGAGAGUGGAAUUCCAUGUGUAGCGGUGAAAUGCGUAGCUAUAUGGAGGAACACCGGUGGCGCAAGCGGCUCUCUGGUCUGUAACUGACUCUGAGGCUUGAAAGCGUGAUGAGCGAACACG